rnacentral:rRNA from 1 species
GACGAACGCUGGCGGCGUGCUUAACACAUGCAAGUCGAGCGGUAAGGCCCUUUCGGGGGUACACGAGCGGCGAACGGGUGAGGAAUACAUGGGUAACCUACCCUCGAGUGGGAAUAACUAGCCGAAAGGUUAGCUAAUACCGCGUACGCUCCUUGGACUUCGGUUCAGGGAGGAAAGCGAUACCGUGGGUAUCGCGCUCUUGGUUGGGCUCAUGUCCUAUCAGCUUGUUGGUGAGGUAACGGCUCACCAAGGCUUCGACGGGUAGCUGGUCUGAGAGGACGAUCAGCCACACUGGCACUGCGACACGGGCCAGACUCCUACGGGAGGCAGCAGUAAGGAAUAUUGCGCAAUGGGCGAAAGCCUGACGCAGCGACGCCGCGUGGGGAUGAAGGUCUUCGGAUUGUAAACCCCUUUCGGGAGGGAAGAUGGAACGAGCAAUCGUUCGGACGGUACCUCCAGAAGCAGCCACGGCUAACUUCGUGCCAGCCGCCGCAGUAAU